rnacentral:rRNA from 1 species
UACGGAGGGUGCAAGCGGUGUUCGGAAUCACUGGGCGUAAAGCGCGUGUAGGCGGUCUGCUAAGUCUGAUGUGAAAGCCCGGGGCUCACCCCCGGAAGUGCAUUGGAAACUGGCAGACUGGAGUCCCGGAGAGGAGGGUGGAAUUCCUGGUGUAGCGGUGAAAUGCGUAGAUAUCAGGAGGAACACCGGUGGCGAAGGCGGCCCUCUGGACGGUGACUGACGCUGAGACGCGAAAGCGUGGGGAGCAAACAGG